UAUUGAUUGCGAUUGAUUGCGAGCCAGAUGCAAAGACAAAAGAGAAGAAAGUGAAGAAAACUGCAAAAUAUCAGAAAUUAAUACUCGCGAAAAUAUGUCACUUCAAGGAGGUGUGAGAAGUGUGGUCACUGGCUUGAACUGGUGAACUGAUUACACAUCAGCUGUCAAACUGUACAGAACACUCAUUUAGAGGACCAAUUAUACUCCCUGUAAAAUAGGUCUAUAAUGUUGCCUACUCUAAUGCCAUGCACAAAGGUGGGAAGCUAGGUGAUUCCUGCCAAAAUAAUAUGAUUUUUUUGCAUCGGGGGAAUUUUUGUAUGAGGUAUGUUUUCCUGUAUAUAAUUAUGUUGAUGUUUUUUUUUAUGAGGAAUGUGUUUAUGUAUUAUAGUCAUUUCAUGGUUAUGA